rnacentral:SRP_RNA from 1 species
CAGGGAGCCUCCAACCACGGGGCUAGGCCUACCGUACCUUCGGGUGGCAGAUGGUCUUCAUGGCCGGUUGUAGUUUGCGGGUGGCUUUGCAAUAGACUGUAAGCCUGAUAUGCCAACUGAGAAGCCUUGUCCUGCAGGGUCAUCUUCAUGGUGAACCGGGUCAGGGUCGGAAAGUUUGACACGCUUCGCGUGUCCUUCCCGAAAGACAGCAUCCCUAAGCCAUGUUCGUGAUGCUUGCAGGGUUGCAGGGUGGAGAAGGUAGAUCGGAUAACUUGCAGUUUUUCGUGAAGUCUACCGUAGACAUGCUCCCUG